UACGAAGGGGGCUAGCGUUGCUCGGAAUCACUGGGCGUAAAGCGCACGUAGGCGGCUUUCUAAGUCAGGGGUGAAAUCCUGGAGCUCAACUCCAGAACUGCCUUUGAUACUGGAGAGCUUGAGUCCGGGAGAGGUGAGUGGAACUCCGAGUGUAGAGGUGAAAUUCGUAGAUAUUCGCAAGAACACCAGUGGCGAAGGCGGCUCACUGGCCCGUUACUGACGCUGAGGCACGAAAGCGUGGGGAGCAAACAGG
rnacentral:rRNA from 1 species